rnacentral:rRNA from 1 species
GACGAACGCUGGCGGUGUGCUUAACACAUGCAAGUCGAACGGUGAAGCGCCUUCCUUUUUGGUGGGUGUGGAUGAGUGGCGAACGGGUGAGUAACACGUGAGUAACCUGCCCCCUUCUUCUGGAUAACCGCAUGAAAGUGUGGCUAAUACGGGAUAUUCUGGGUCUGUCGCAUGAUGGGUCUGGGAAAGAUAUUGUUUCGGUGGGGGAUGGGCUCGCGGCCUAUCAGCUUGUUGGUGGGGUGAUGGCCUACCAAGGCGGUGACGGGUAGCCGGCCUGAGAGGGCGGACGGUCACACUGGGACUGAGACACGGCCCAGACUCCUACGGGAGGCAGCAGUGGGGAAUAUUGCACAAUGGGCGCAAGCCUGAUGCAGCGACGCCGCGUGAGGGAUGGAGGCCUUCGGGUUGUGAACCUCUUUCGCCAGUGAAGCAGGCCUGCCUCGUUUGUGGGUGGGUUGACGGUAGCUGGAUAAGAAGCGCCGGCUAACUACGUG